GCCUUCGUGGUGUAAUGGUCAGCACACUGAGCCGGUAUUUCAGAGGUCCGUGGUUCGAUCCCCGCCGAAGGCG
rnacentral:tRNA from 1 species